CAAAAAUGGCUGCUGGCAGACUGGGAGCAGUUCCCAGCAGCAGGAGCUACAUAUAACUGGCGAGUGUGGUGAGAGCCCUGUGAGCAGAGAGACAGUAGUCCCAGUCACCUAGGAGGACACUCUGGUCCUGCCAGGUCUGUGAUCCCGAAAUCAGCAGGUAUCAGCCAAGCAGAGUGAAAAUGAAUUGAGAAGAAAUGAGUCUAUCCUUGAUGCAACAUUGAAAAGGAAUCUGGUGAUUCUCAUUGUGCGCUCCAGCUUUUUGAUGAAUGAGGAAG